GCGGGAGUGGCGGAAUUGGUAGACGCGCUGGAUUUAGGUUCCAGUAUCUAUGAUGUGAGAGUUCAAGUCUCUCCUCCCGUACCA
rnacentral:tRNA from 1 species